GUAUGAGUCUUUAAAGAUGAAGAGCAAAUGAGAUGGAGGAAGACAACGAUGAUAUCACAGCAGCUGGAGGAGGAGAGCCUGAAACCAAAUCUGUACCAUCUGCAGCCAAUGGCAAAGUAGAUGAGACAGAAGAGGGUGCAGCCAAAGCCGAGUGUGAUCCAGUGAAUGAACCUGGUGAAGCUCAGCACUCAGAGAAGAAUGAUGAAAGCACAGGAAGAGAGUCUGAAAGUGACUCUGUUCAAUUUGCAACCGAUGACAAAGUGAUACCUGAACUCACACUGGUGUUAAUUGGUGAUACAAACUCCAUUGAGAUUGGAUCAAAAAACAUCUUACUUGACCAUGACUGGCAUACAAGUCUGUUUUCACACAGACUGUAUGAUUUGUGUGGUCGGCACAUUUCUGUCAUUAACAUGCUUGGCCUACAAAACAUUGACAAAUUCCCAUUAAAUCAGGAAAUUCAUGCCUUUCUCUUACUGUUACCAAAUGGUCUGCAUACAAGCCAUUACAGUU